AGUGAACGCUGGCGGUAGGCCUAACACAUGCAAGUCGAACGGCAGCACAGGAGAGCUUGCUCUCUGGGUGACGAGUGGCGGACGGGUGAGGAAUACAUCGGAAUCUACUUUUUCGUGGGGGAUAACGUAGGGAAACUUACGCUAAUACCGCAUACGACCUACGGGUGAAAGCAGGGGAUCUUCGGACCUUGCGCGAUUGAAUGAGCCGAUGUCGGAUUAGCUAGUUGGCGGGGUAAAGGCCCACAAAGGCGACGAUCCGUAGCUGGUCUGAGAGGAUGAUCAGCCACACUGGAACUGAGACACGGUCCAGACUCCUACGGGAGGCAGCAGUGGGGAAUAUUGGACAAUGGGCGCAAGCCUGAUCCAGCCAUACCGCGUGGGUGAAGAAGGCCUUCGGGUUGUAAAGCCCUUUUGUUGGGAAAGAAAUCCAGCUGGUUAAUACCCGGUUGGGAUGACGGUACCCAAAGAAUAAGCACCGGCUAACUUCGUGCCAGCAGCCGCCGUAA
rnacentral:rRNA from 1 species